UCCUACGGCUAUACCACCCUGAACGCGCCCGACCUCAUCUGAUCUCGGAACUUGAGGGCGUCUUAUUAGCACUGAGGUCUACACUAUGAGAAAGAAAAAAUACAGAAAAUCCCCUUUUGGGACUGGAGCAGUAGUAC
rnacentral:rRNA from 1 species